GGAAAUGCUGUGUCAAAUAAACACAGAAAAAAAGGAGUCCCCUUUGAAAAUAGGUGGGCAGACACGAAGGUACCUAUUGUGUGAUUCUACUUACAGAAACAUCUGGAACAGGUAAAGAGACAGAGAGAGCAGCUUAGGGGUUUUGAGGGUGUGGCCUGGGGGAGAAAUGGGCAGGGAGGGCUUCUGGUUCAGGGACUCCUUUGGGGAAGGGGAUAUUCCACAGCAAUGUGUUCUGGUGGGGUGGCACAACAUUGUGAAUAUACUUAAUAUGCAUGACGUGUUCAAUUGCAAACAAGUAAUUUUAUUUAAAACAAAUAAUAAACAGUAUACAGAACAUGAAAAAAUAAA